UAGGUAUUCGAGUAUAUGCAAA
rnacentral:siRNA from 1 species